rnacentral:lncRNA from 10 species
UGAUGGGAGAGGCAUGAUAUAUUGGGGCGAAGGGGCGGCACGGACAGAGUUUCAUCCUUGUUGCCCCGGCUGGAGUUCAAUGGUGCAAUCUCAGCUCACUGCAACUCCCCUGAUCUCAGGCCAUCCGCCCACCUCAGCCUCCCAAAGUGCUGGGAUUACAGGCAUGAGCCACCACGCCCGGCCUCUGCUUUCUUUCUCUGUGAUUUGACUAUUCCAGAUCCCUCAUCUGGGAGUUAAAAAAAAUUCUGCCGUAGCCUACCGCCUCAUGACUUUGAGUCUGUCUGUAUUACACCAAGACAACAUAGAAGUUAUGAGCCUUGUGAAGGAGGUGCCUGCUUCGCCUUCCUCCAUGAUUGUAAAUUUCCUGAGGCCUCAUCAGCCAUGUGGAACUACUACAGAAUCCUGGCGAGGAACCUAUUCCUAUAUUUACCUCCAUCUCUCUGGUACCUGGCCUAAGUCUACACAGUAGAUUUAUCCUGAAAUCUGCUCCAGGAGUUCUGUACAUCUCAUGUUGCAGGUAAGAAAUGGAAGCCGGACACACAGUGGGUUGUUUAGGGUCAUGAACUCUGGUGGGAGGAGAAUCUCAGACGCCUGGCUGAGUUUCCCUAAGUCGCACCACCUGCCUUGCAGUGGUCUGGGCACCUGUUGCUGCAGAGAGUUGCCAACCCCAUAUCCUGUGAGUCUCCGUCCUUGAGCACCAAGUAUCUAAUCACUCUUUCUCUCUCAGGGCUGCGGUGCUGUGAAGAUUUCGGCAUCCUGCACUCAUGGCCAUGUUUAGUCUAUGGUCACAUUGACACUAGAGAGUUUCAGGGACCAGUGCAGUAUGCCCAGGUCUGACAUGGGCUUCCAAAAUGUAUGUGAACAGAGUAAGAAUGAUACUUUUUUGCUUUUCAAAAUAUUUCACAGCUUAGGUGGCACUUACCCUUAUCCCUUCUUUUCUGUCUUUACUGAUAAAUACUCAUCACCUUAGAUUAUUUUAACAUCUAACAACUUUCAGUUGCAAUUAGAAAAUAUCUUUAGACAUGUUAAUUAUAAAAAUAUUCUUCAUUUAUGAAAUUGAUUACGCCUAGUGACUUCAUUCACCAAUUGUCUCAAAAUCUUGCCUUUAAACUACCCUCAGGAGGAAUCUCCAUGUUCACAAAAGAAAAGAGGGCAAAGGCCAGGCACAGUGGCUCACACCUAUAAUCCCAGCACUUUGAGAGGCUGAGGUGGGAGGAUUGCUUGAACCUAGGAGUUCCAGACCAGCGUGGGCAACAUGAUGAAACCCCGUCUC